ensembl:lncRNA
CUCGGGGCGGCCUCGGAGCGCUGCGGGCCCCGGCGCUGCCUUCUGCUGGCACUCGGCGUCCAGGAAAUCCGCAAAGCGGCGGGACGAGUGGAAGCCGUGACAUCACUCGGGGCAGGAGGCUUCGGGCAGAAGGUGCGGAGCUCUGCGUUCCCGCACCGAGACACGUCCGCGUCCCGCCGCCCCCGGACCUCGUUCCCUCCAAACCCUACAAACGGACGGAAAUCAUCCCCAUAGCCGCCGCUGUCCGGAGAGAUCGGUGCCUGGACCGGGAGCUGCCCUCCGUGCGGCAGCCGUGCUGCGGAACGCCAGAAGUGUACGCACAUUUUCCUUCUCCCUCCUUCGCAGAGGAGGGGAGCAAUGCUCUGAAGAACAAACCCGCCGCGAGCGCCGGCGGAGGCAGCGUUGAGGCUGAGGCAGCGCUUCCAGGCACUGCCCCCUCCGCGCACCGACCUCCGUGCUGACACGGGGCUCCGCGGGCUCAGCUCGUUCAGCUGUCCCAGUCAGCGUCACGGCUUUCAGAGGGCCGCGGUUACGCUUUCCCUUGCUGACGGUGCAUGCAGAGCUAUCUUUCUCCCUUCUCCACCUGGACCUGCUAUCAAACCCGAGAAAAACCAGCCAAGCAAAAGAAAUAGCGGAGUCAUCUGCAUCGCUCGGGGCAGCCUCCUGCACUGCCCUACCCAGGGGCCUCGCAGAGGAGCAGUUCUGGGGCACUAUCCGUGCCAAUGUGGUCACGGUGCUGACAUGGUGCUGGUACAGCCUUUAGCAGCCAGCUCUCCACCUGCCACACAUGAAAUCAAUGCGUGGCUUUGAUGCACAGCUCCUACACGGGGAAAUGCUCCGAGCCCGUCGGUGAUGUGAUGGGGAGCAUGAGCAGAAAUCCCUCAGUGUGGGGCUUAGGGAUGGCUGUGCUACACUUCCAGCCACAGCCAAACCCUGCACAUCACUGCCACAGCCAUGUAUAGGUACGGAGCCACAUGCAGAGCUGCAGGCAGUGAGUGCUCUCUGCCAUGGCCGGGCACAAACACACUGUGAGACAAAGGUGGGUGCACCGCGUCGGUAAUUACAGCCUGUCUAAAACCACAGCCAUGGCUGUACCACCUAUUUCUAGACACUAAACAAGCCCCAGACAGAAAGCAAGGGAUUGUCCUUAUUGCGCUGGUGUUCAAUCCAAGCAAGCCCCACAUCUGCAGCCCAAUUAGAGAUGUGCUCCCUGAUAUCACAUCAUCCCCUAUGCUGUGAACAGGCAACGUGUGCUCAGGCUGCUCGCUGUGUGCCCCGUUCACUGCCUGGAAUAGGACAGUUUACAGCUCACAAAAUUAAGUUAAUGAUUAUAUCUGUGCAGAGCGGGGCCUCCAGUUUUUAACAGCAAAAUGAAGGAACAGAUCAAACCCCACAUUCCGUGGGUUUGCAGCAGUGUUGGUCUGCAGGUUCCAGCUCUCGGCUGCCGUCACACCUGGCUGUGUGUUUAUGGAGCAGCAGGGAGGUGCUGCAGGCAUUUAACACAAUAAUGGCUAAUUGAAACUUUUUAUUUCUAAAAUAACACCAUGUUUUAUAUAUAUUAAAAUCAUAUUAAAGCUGACUUGCCAGACUCUCCCGAGCGCCACUACAGCCAGUUAAAAACCCUGUUAAGAGCCAAUUAAAUAACGAAGCUUUCUAUAACAGGCGCAUGAUAUAAAACAAUUAAGUGGUGGAGGCUUUUUUCUGUUAGUUUAUUUCUCUGCCUUUGCAUUUCUGUGCAGAUCUUAUUUUAAAGUGUGGUACAGACCCACCAAAGUGCCCUCCCAGCAGAGCACUCCCAUGGAACCAAAUAGGCUGGAGCUGGAGGUGCUGCAGAGCGCGCCCACUGAGCACUAAAGAAAAUCACACUAAUAAGAAAUGCUCAAAGAAAAGUUCCCAAACCGAACACCCAGGUGUCUGAAGUCCCACAGAUGGUCCCUGCAGGGUGGGCUCAGUGGUGCCAAGCUGGGCACCAAGCAGUGUGCCUGAUGUCCACGGCCCCAGGCAGCCUUUGUGGCCACCACCAGCCCAGGGCACGGCCAGCAGCUAUGGGGAGCUUCACCAGCAGAAGGCAAUGGGAACUGGGGAUCCCAGGCACAGCGCACGCAGAAGGUGAGGGUGAUUUACCACUUUGGGAUGGAAUAAUGUUUUUGGAAUAAAAUUAUGCUGCAUGGAUUAGGAUUUCCUGUAUGUUGUUUACUGUUCAUGCUGUAUGCUAAGAGCCUUUAUCUGUUUUAAUCUCUAUAGUUUGGCGGAGAUUCAGUGGAUGCUUAAAAAUGAAACUUUUGCUGUAGGAGUCCUAGGCAUAAGGGAGCAGGGCUUGGGCACAAGGGAACCUGAUUUUCAGGAUGGACAGCAGGGAGCAGACGGCACUGGUGUGCCAUAGAAGGGGGGGGGGGGGGGGGGGAGGUUGCCUGCCUUUCCUAUGCCAGGGAGCUCCACACUUGCAGCAGUACAGGUGUGCUGCCCAGAGCCAUCCUGGAGCUGUAAGGCCAAGCUGAGCGAAGGCCCUGUGCCUCCUCUUUGUCUCAUGCCUUGGCAGGAGAGAUCUCACUAAAACCUUCUUUCGGGACUUUGCCCAACACUGGUCAUGGAGUGGUGACGUGAAGGCUGGGUUCACCUUGCUUGCUUCAGUGGGUACUCAAACAGCUGUGCCCUUAGCAGGGGUCUCACACCUGGUGACCUCCUGGCUCACACUGAGGACACCAACAAUCCCCUGUCCUGGGACCCCACUAAGGGCAUGUACCAAACAGCUGUUUGGUGCCUACCGAUGUUGCUGCGGUGCUAAAGGGAAGGCAGGCAGCUCCCGGUCUGCAUUCUGUGAGGGCAAAUGCCACCAGCAUCAGCGCAGUGCCACCACCUCAGGCCAAAUGAGAGCCGACUUCUGCCCUGCAGCCUGAUGUUCGAUACGGCACAUUUCUACUUACCACACCCAGAACAGAACUGUAAACCCAUAUAUGGACACGACCGCUUAAAAAGUUUAAACAAUUUUGCUUUUCUGUACGUAUAUUAUGACACUUCCAAAUUUUUUGGACGAAAUUCCACCACCCGAUAGCGAUCUGAGCCGCAGAUGGGUUCGCUUAGCGCAUUUCUAGGCCUUGUCCGCCAGCUUCUUCCCUUCGCCUCCCGCUCACCGCGCAGGG